CCUACGGGUGGCAGCAGUGGGGAAUAUUGGGCAAUGGGCGCAAGCCUGACCCAGCAACGCCGCGUGAAGGAAGAAGGCUUUCGGGUUGUAAACUUCUUUUAUCAGGGACGAAGCAAGUGACGGUACCUGAUGACUAAGCCACGGCUAACUACGUGCCAGCAGGCGCGGUAAUACGUAGGUGGCAAGCGUUAUCCGGAUUUACUGGGUGUAAAGGGCGUGUAGGCGGGAGUGCAAGUCAGAUGUGAAAACUAUGGGCUCAACCCAUAGCCUGCAGUUGAAACUGGACUUCUUGAGUGCGGGAGAGGCAAGCGGAAGUCCGGGUGUAGCGGUGAAAUGCGUAGAUAUACGGAGGAACUCCAGUGGCGAAGGCGGAUUGCUGGACAGUAACUGACGCUGAGGCGCGAAAGCGUGGGUAGCAAACAGGAUUAGAUACCCCAGUAGUC
rnacentral:rRNA from 1 species